CAUGCUAGACGUAGUUUGAUCAGUGGCUCAGAACGACGCUGGCGGCAUGCCUAACACAUGCAAGUCGAACGAAGGCUUCGGCCUUAGUGGCGCACGGGUGCGUAACGCGUGGGAACCUGCCCCUCGGUUCGGAAUAACAGUUAGAAAUGACUGCUAAUACCGGAUGAUGACUUCGGUCCAAAGAUUUAUCGCCGAGGGAUGGGCCCGCGUAGGAUUAGCUAGUUGGUGGGGUAAAGGCCUACCAAGGCGACGAUCCUUAGCUGGUCUGAGAGGAUGAUCAGCCACACUGGGACUGAGACACGGCCCAGACUCCUACGGGAGGCAGCAGUGGGGAAUAUUGGACAAUGGGCGAAAGCCUGAUCCAGCAAUGCCGCGUGAGUGAUGAAGGCCUUAGGGUUGUAAAGCUCUUUUACCAGGGAUGAUAAUGACAGUACCUGGAGAAUAAGCUCCGGCUAACUCCGUG
rnacentral:rRNA from 1 species